GGUGCUGUAGUAUAGUGGUCAGUACGGUUCGUUGUGGUCCUAUAGGACAUUCCCGAACAGACCUGGGUUCGAUUCCCAGCAGCGCCA
rnacentral:tRNA from 1 species